GACGAACGCUGGCGGCGUGCUUAACACAUGCAAGUCGUACGGUAAGGCCCUUUCGGUGGUACUCGAGCGGCGAACGGGUGCGUAACACGUGCGUAACCUGCCCACAACUUUGGGAUAACGCUAGGAAACUGGAGCCAAUACUGGAUCUGUGCUCCUGCUGCAUGGUCGUGGUUGGAAAGCUCCGGCGGUUGUGGCUGGAUCUGCGGCAUAUCAGCUCGCUGCGGGGGUAGUGGCCUACCAAGGCGGCGACGGGUAGCCGGCCUGAGAGGGUGACCGGCCACAUUGGGACUGAGAGACGGCCCAGACUCCUACGGGAGGCAGAAGUGGGGAAUAUUGCACAAUGGGCGCAAGCCUGAUGCAGCAACGCCGCGGGCGGGAUGACGGCCUUCGGGUUGUAAACCGCUUUCGGCAGGGACGAAGCUUUUUGUGACGGUACCUGCAGAGGAAGCACCGGCUAACUACGUG
rnacentral:rRNA from 1 species